GCAAGUCGAACGAUGAUGCUCCAGCUUGCUGGGGUGGAUUAGUGGCGAACGGGUGAGUAAUACGUGAGUAACCUGCCCCCUUCUUUGGGAUAAGCCUGGGAAACUGGGUCUAAUACUGGAUAUUCUGUCAUUCCUGCAUGGGGGUGGUUGGAAAGGUUUUUCUGGUGGGGGAUGGGCUCACGGCCUAUCAGCUUGUUGGUGGGGUGAUGGCCUACCAAGGCGUCGACGGGUAGCCGGCCUGAGAGGGUGACCGGCCACAUUGGGACUGAGAUACGGCCCAGACUCCUACGGGAGGCAGCAGUGGGGAAUAUUGCACAAUGGACGCAAGUCUGAUGCAGCGACGCCGCGUGGGGGAUGAAGGCUUUCGGGUUGUAAACUCCUUUUAGUACAGAAGAAGCCUUUGGGUGACGGUAUGUGCAGAAAAAGCGCCGGCUAACUACGUGCCAGCAGCCGCGGUAAUACGUAGGGCGCGAGCGUUGUCCGGAAUUAUUGGGCGUAAAGAGCUCGUAGGCGGUUUGUCGCGUCUGCCGUGAAAAUCCAGGGCUUAACUCUGGACGUGCGGUGGGUACGGGCAGACUAGAGUGCGGUAGGGGUAACUGGAAUUCCUGGUGUAGCGGUGGAAUGCGCAGAUAUCAGGAGGAACACCGAUGGCGAAGGCAGGUUACUGGGCCGUUACUGACGCUGAGGAGCGAAAGCAUGGGGAGCGAACAGGAUUAGAUACCCUGGUAGUCCAUGCCGUAAACGAUGUCAACUAGCUGUUGGGGCCUUCGGGCCUUAGUAGCGCAGCUAACGCGUGAAGUUGACCGCCUGGGGAGUACGGUCGCAGAUUACACUCAAGGAAUUGACGGAA
rnacentral:rRNA from 1 species